GCGGACGUAACUCAGUUGGUAGAGUGCAAGAUUUCCAAUCUUGAUGUCGCGGGUUCGAGCCCCGUCGUCCGCU
rnacentral:tRNA from 1 species